rnacentral:rRNA from 1 species
GUCCUUAAGAAAAGAAUCUAAGGUCUAAUCUGCCCAUUGAGAAUACGAUCUUAAAAGGCCGCAGUAGCCUAACUGUGCUAAGGUAGCAUAAUAAAUUGUACUUUAAUUGAGUGAUAGAAUGAAUGAUUAGACGAGAUAGAGACUGUCUCCUAAAGGAUUAAGGAAGUUAUCUUUUAAGUUAAAAGACUUAAAUAUUAGUAAGGGACGAGAAGACCCUAUAGAGCUUCAUAAAAGCAAGAAUUUUAUUAUAUCUAAGUUUCUUACUUUUAAUUGGUUGGGGGUACCGGACAAUAGAAAAAAUUUGUCUUUAACUUAACUUGAUCAAAGUAAUCUAUGUCCCUAUUUUGGGAAUUAAAAUAAGUUACCUUAGGGAUAACAGCGUAAUAUGGUAUUCAAGUUCUUAUUGAAUAUAAUGUUUGCGACCUCGAUGUUGAAUUAAGGCCUCUUCCAGAGGAAGAAGACUGGGAAUAGUUAGUCUGUUCGACUAUAAAAGCCU